GAUGAACGCUGGCGGCGUGCCUAAUACAUGCAAGUCGAGCGAACGGACGAGAAGCUUGCUUCUCUGAUGUUAGCGGCGGACGGGUGAGUAACACGUGGAUAACCUACCUAUAAGACUGGGAUAACUUCGGGAAACCGGAGCUAAUACCGGAUAAUAUUUUGAACCGCAUGGUUCAAAAGUAAAAGACGGUCUUGCUGUCACUUAUAGAUGGAUCCGCGCUGCAUUAGCUAGUUGGUAAGGUAACGGCUUACCAAGGCAACGAUGCAUAGCCGACCUGAGAGGGUGAUCGGCCACACUGGAACUGAGCCACGGUCCAGACUCCUACGGGAGGCAGCAGUAGGGAAUCUUCCGCAAUGGGCGAAAGCCUUACGGAGCAACGCCGCGUGAGUGAUGAAGGUCUUCGGAUCGUAAAACUCUGUUAUUAGGGAAGAACAUAUGUGUAAGUAACUGUGCACAUCUUGACGGUACCUAAUCAGAAAGCCACGGCUAACUACGUG
rnacentral:rRNA from 1 species